rnacentral:rRNA from 1 species
UGGGGGAAUAUUGGACAAUGGGCGCAAGCCUGAUCCAGCAAUGCCGCGUGUGUGAAGAAGGCCUUCGGGUUGUAAAGCACUUUUAUCAGGAGCGAAACGCUGUCGGCUAAUACCCGGCGGAACUGACGGUACCUGAGGAGUAAGCACCGGCUAACUUCGUGCCAGCAGCCGCGGUAAUACGAAGGGUGCAAGCGUUAAUCGGAAUUACUGGGCGUAAAGCGUGCGUAGGCGGUUUCUUAAGUCUGCUGUGAAAUCCCCGGGCUCAACCUGGGAAUGGCAGUGGAUACUGGGAGGCUAGAGUGUGUCAGAGGGUGGUGGAAUUCCCGGUGUAGCGGUGAAAUGCGUAGAGAUCGGGAGGAACAUCAGUGGCGAAGGCGGCCACCUGGGACAACACUGACGCUGAGGCACGAAAGCGUGGGGAGCAAACAGGAUUAGAUACCCUGGUAGUCCACGCCCUAAAGCGAUGCGAACUGGAUGUUGGUCUCAACUCGGAGAUCAGUGUCGAAGCUAACGCGUUAAGUUCGCCGCCUGGGGAGUACGGUCGCAAGACUG